rnacentral:rRNA from 1 species
UACGUAGGGUGCGAGCGUUAAUCGGAAUUACUGGGCGUAAAGCGUGCGCAGGCGGUUCGUUGUGUCUGUGGUGAAAGCCCCGGGCUUAACCUGGGAAUGGCCAUGGAAACUGGCGAGCUGGAGUGUGGCAGAGGGGGGUGGAAUUCCGCGUGUAGCAGUGAAAUGCGUAGAUAUGUGGAGGAAUACCGAUGGCGAAGGCAGCCUCCUGGGCCAACACUGACGCUCAUGCACGAAAGCGUGGGGAGCAAACAGG